AGUUUAGCUAAUGUUGCCCGUACCGUAAACCGACACAGGUGGGUGGGAUGAGUAUUCUAAGGCGCGUGGAAGAACUCUCUUUAAGGAACUCUGCAAAAUAGCACCGUAUCUUCGGUAUAAGGUGUGGUUCGCUUCGUAUUAGGAUUUACUCCGAAAGCGAAGAAACUUACAACAAAGAGUCCCUCCCGACUGUUUACCAAAAACACAGCACUCUGCUAACUCGUAAGAGGAUGUAUAGGGUGUGACGCCUGCCCGGUGCUCGAAGGUUAAUUGAUGGGGUUAGCAUUAGCGAAGCUCUUGAUCGAAGCCCGAGUAAACGGCGGCCGUAACUAUAACGGUCCUAAGGUAGCGAAAUUCCUUGUCGGUUAAAUACCGACCUGCAUGAAUGGCGUAACGAGAUGGGAGCUGUCUCAAAGAGGGAUCCAGUGAAAUUGUAGUGGAGGUGAAAAUUCCUCCUACCCGCG
rnacentral:rRNA from 1 species